GGCGGCCGCCUAACACAUGCAAGUCGAACGCAGUAGCAAUACUGAGUGGCAAACGGGUGAGUAUAAUGUGGGAAUCUGCCUUUUGGUUCGGAAUAACACGAGGAAACUUGUGCUAAUACCGGAUAAGCCUUUACAGGGAAAGUUUUAAUGCCAAAAGAUGAGCCCGCACUUGAUUAGCUAGUUGGUAAGGUAAUAGCUUACCAAGGCAACGAUCAAUAGCUGUUCUUAGAGGAAGACCAGCCACAUUGGGACUGAGACACGGCCCAAACUCCUACGGGAGGCAGCAGUGGGGAAUCUUGCACAAUGGGGGCAACCCUGAUGCAGCGAUGCCGCGUGAGUGAAGAAGGCCUUUGGGUUGUAAAACUCUUUCGUCGGGGAAGAAAAUGACUGUACCCGAAUAAGAAGGUCCGGCUAACUUCGUGCCAGCAGCCGCGGUAAUACGAAGGGACCUAGCGUAGUUCGGAAUUACUGGGCUUAAAGAGUUCGUAGGUGGUUAGAAUAGUUGAUGGUGAAAUCCCAAGGCUCAACCUUGGAACUGCCAUCAAAACUUUCUAGCUAGAGUAUGAUAGAGGAAAGUGGAAUUUCUAGUGUAGAGGUGAAAUUCGUAGAUAUUAGAAAGAACAUCAAAAGCGAAGGCAACUUUCUGGAUCAUUACUGACACUGAGGAACGAAAGCAUGGGUAGCGAAGAGGAUUAGAUACCCUCGUAGUCCAUGCUGUAAACGAUGUGUGCUAGACGUUGGAAACUUAGUUUUCAGUGUCGCAGAGAAAUCAUUAAG
rnacentral:rRNA from 1 species